rnacentral:rRNA from 1 species
CAGCCGCCACGGGAAUACGAAGGGGGCUAGCGUUGUUCGGAAUUACUGGGCGUAAAGCGCACGUAGGCGGAUCGAUCAGUCAGGGGUGAAAUCCCAGGGCUCAACCCUGGAACUGCCUUUGAUACUGUCGAUCUGGAGUAUGGAAGAGGUGAGUGGAAUUCCGAGUGUAGAGGUGAAAUUCGUAGAUAUUCGGAGGAACACCAGUGGCGAAGGCGGCUCACUGGUCCAUUACUGACGCUGAGGUGCGAAAGCGUGGGAGCAAACAGGAUUAGAUACCCGUGUAGUCCCUGUCUCUUAUACA